rnacentral:rRNA from 1 species
CGUAGGGUGCGAGCGUUAAUCGGAAUUACUGGGCGUAAAGUGUGCGCAGGUGGCCGCGCAGGUCGAGUGUGAAAUCCCCGGGCUUAACUUGGGAAUUGCGCUCGAAACUACGUGGCUGGAGUGUGGCAGAGGGAGGUGGAAUUCCACGUGUAGCGGUGAAAUGCGUAGAGAUGUGGAGGAACACCAAUGGCGAAGGCAGCCCCCUGGGCCAACACUGACACUCAUGCACGAAAGCGUGGGGAGCAAACAGGAUUAGAUACCCUGGUAGUCCACGCCCUAAACGAUGAUGACUAGUUGUUGGAGGAGUUAAAUCCUUUAGUAACGCAGCUAACGCGCGAAGUCAUCCGCCUGGGGAGUACGGUCGCAAGAUUA